rnacentral:tRNA from 1 species
GGUUAUGGCUCAGCGGUAGAGCGCUUGCCUCUCAUGUGAAAGGGCCUGGAUUCGAUCCUCAGCACCA